GGGCGCGAUGCCGGGCGUGAGAGGCGCUCCGGACGCGGCAUAGGCCCUGGCGGCGGCGGCCGCCAAGUUGCGCGGGCGAGCAAAGGCCGACGAGGCAGCCCGCGCCGCCUUUCGGCCGGCGUCGAUGACAAAGAGGCGCAGCGCCGCCACCAACUCACACUCGUCGAGGAAGGCUGCCGACACGGGACGGCCGCCGAACCACCAAUAGUCUGCAUCCGCUAUGUUUUCGUAGAGGUAGGUAUUGAUCUCAGCGGGAAGGUCACGCGUGUUUUUCAGAGGCGCAAGCGCUCUCUUGAUCUCGGCGGCGCCCAUCGGUACCGCGUCCUCUUCGCCCUCAUCCUCGCCGUCCUCUUCGUCCUCAUCUUCGCCCUCAAUGUCCAUGGCCGCGGUGCUUUGCGUGAGUCCCGCACGUUCGGGCCACGGUUCGUCUUCGCGGGCACCGUCUUGGACGACGCUUUCGUAGGUUCUCCCUUGUCCGCCACCGUCAUCUUCUUCCUCGUCCUCAGAAAAGGCGUCUUCCUCGCCGCGCACGUUCCAUGCGGGCUCGUCGAAAGGUCGUUGUUGGUUUUGGUACCUCCACGUGCCCUCUUCCUCGGACUCGGCGAUGGCGGCGUCGAGUAAUGCUGGCAACACCGCCUCAUACGGUUGGAGUGCCUCGGGAAGGGGCCGCCUGCCGACUCGUCCGGGCGCCUGUCCCAUUGGGCUAGCGGCGCCGAUGGCCGGCGGCUCAUCUCCAUAACCCAUGAUGCGGUUUUCAGAGACGUAAUCGAUCGUGCCGCUGCGGUCGAGUCCAAAAAAGAUGGUGUCGGCCUCAGCGUCCCCGUAGCCCACUAUGAUAUAGUAGACUCUCUGUGGGUCGCAUGUGGUGGCGGGCCACUGGUUCCGGCGCAAAAGCGCGCCCCACGCGCCGAGGUGGGGGCCGACAGACCCUUGCGCACCGAUAACCGUCGGAUUCCUGCGCACCUGCCGGCCGAUGGCCUCGACAACCUCCGCCAUGUCGACGCCGGCUCCGGCGCGCCGUGACAUGCCAGGCGGAGCCACGUAGGCGUAGGCGUCGUAGGCGUCGGCAAACGACGGAGGCCAGGGUCCGCCUAUCGCACGGACGGCGGCGUCGGCGUCGGCGUCCUCCAUUAGCGCCGUCCAGUAGCGCUCGUACUGGCGGGCCAGGGUAUCGCACGCCGUGCCAGCGUCGGGUCCGUAGGACCCGCGCCCCGGCUGGCCCAACAGAGACGCGGGCGCAUAGCGCGACAGAUGACUUAUGGCGUCGACGUCGCCGGCUGUCGCGCGCACGCACAUCCUGCGAAAGUCCCUAGCAGUGCUGGCGACGAUACCUUCGUGCCAUGGCGCCAAAGGCGCAAAUUCUGUCCUGCGUCUCGGCGCAUAGAGGACGUCGUCGUCAGGUGCCGAACCGAUGGACCUUGCGCGCUUCAUCGCGAUAAACACCGCAGAUCGGACUUGCAAAGGACAAGGCACGCGACCACUUUCUCUGGGUGCCCUCAACUUUUGAUCUCUGGUGUGAUGUCGUCUCCCCUGCGCCACAGCGCCAGCCCAGGACGAAGGGCAGGGCGGGCGGCUGCUGUCCCUCUGGUGCCUGUCGCCCAACAAAGAAAGAGCGGCGUCACCGACGCUCCCAGAUAUCAACCGGUCAUAUUUGGCCAACGGACUACUUUGUUUUCUGCUUGUGAUCGGUCAACUGCGACUUUACUCGACACCGGCAGGAAUCGACCUGUCUGUCAAUAAACAGAAUAAAACCGACACGAAGGCGGGAGUAGUUGGGCAAAACCAGUUAUGCGGGCACACGCCCAAAUGCGA
rnacentral:lncRNA from 1 species